GACGAGCGCUGGCGGCGUGCUUAACACAUGCAAGUCGAACGGUGAAGGGGCCUGCUUUUGUGGGCCCUGGAUGAGUGGCGAACGGGUGAGUAACACGUGAGUAACCUGCCCCCUUCUUCUGGAUAACCGCAUGAAAGUGUGGCUAAUACGGGAUAUUCUGGGUCUGUCGCAUGAUGGGUCUGGGAAAGAUUGCGCCUUUGGGUGUUUUUGGUGGGGGAUGGGCUCGCGGCCUAUCAGCUUGUUGGUGGGGUGAUGGCCUACCAAGGCGGUGACGGGUAGCCGGCCUGAGAGGGUGGACGGUCACACUGGGACUGAGACACGGCCCAGACUCCUACGGGAGGCAGCAGUGGGGAAUAUUGCACAAUGGGCGCAAGCCUGAUGCAGCGACGCCGCGUGAGGGAUGGAGGCCUUCGGGUUGUAAACCUCUUUCGCCAGUGAAGCAGGCCUGCUCCUUGUGGGUGGGUUGACGGUAGCUGGAGAAGAAGCGCCGGCUAACUACGUG
rnacentral:rRNA from 1 species